GCCGGCGCCAUUUUGUGGGCGCCGGGCGAUCCUUCGGGCGGGCUUCCCCUCGGCGGCCGCGGAGCGGUAAGACUCGCCAAAGAUGUCGGAGUAUAUUCGGGUUACGGAAGAUGAGAACGAUGAGCCCAUUGAGAUCCCGUCUGAAGACGAUGGCACCGUGCUCCUCUCCACCGUUACGGCCCAGUUUCCUGGGGCGUGUGGACUGCGCUACAGGAAUCCGGUGUCCCAAUGUAUGAGAGGCGUCCGGCUAGUUGAAGGGAUACUGCACGCCCCUGAUGCCGGCUGGGGGAAUCUGGUGUAUGUUGUCAACUAUCCCAAAGAUAACAAGAGGAAAAUGGAUGAAACAGAUGCCUCGUCUGCAGUUAAAGUGAAAAGGGCAGUACAGAAGACAUCUGAUUUGAUAGUCUUAGGUCUUCCCUGGAAAACUACGGAACAGGACCUAAAAGAAUAUUUUAGUACUUUUGGAGAAGUUCUCAUGGUGCAGGUCAAGAAAGACAUUAAAACUGGCCAUUCAAAGGGAUUUGGUUUUGUUCGCUUCACGGAGUACGAAACACAGGUCAAAGUGAUGUCACAACGACACAUGAUAGAUGGACGAUGGUGUGACUGUAAACUUCCUAAUUCUAAGCAAAGUCCAGAUGAGCCUUUGAGAAGCAGAAAGGUGUUUGUUGGGCGCUGUACAGAAGAUAUGACCGCAGAUGAGUUGCGUCAGUUUUUUUGCCAGUAUGGAGAAGUGGUAGAUGUCUUCAUUCCCAAACCUUUCAGGGCCUUUGCCUUUGUCACAUUUGCAGAUGAUCAGGUUGCGCAGUCUCUUUGUGGCGAGGACUUGAUCAUUAAAGGAAUCAGCGUACAUAUAUCCAAUGCUGAGCCUAAGCACAAUAGCAAUAGACAGUUAGAAAGAAGUGGAAGAUUCGGUGGCAAUCCAGGUGGUUUCGGGAACCAGGGGGGCUUCGGGAACAGUCGGGGAGGGGGAGCCGGGCUGGGGAACAAUCAGGGCAGUAACAUGGGUGGGGGGAUGAACUUUGGUGCUUUUAGCAUCAACCCUGCCAUGAUGGCCGCAGCCCAAGCCGCGCUGCAGAGCAGUUGGGGGAUGAUGGGCAUGCUAGCUAGUCAGCAAAACCAGUCAGGUCCGUCAGGGAGCAACCAGAGCCAAGGCAACAUGCAGAGGGAGCCGAACCAAGCCUUCGGGUCGGGAAACAACUCGUACAGCGGGUCUAACUCCGGCGGCGCGAUUGGCUGGGGGUCCACGUCAAACGCGGGGUCGGGCAGUGGCUUUAACGGAGGCUUUGGCUCCAGUAUGGAUUCCAAGUCCUCGGGCUGGGGGAUGUAGGCACGGUGGGUUCCAGUAGAGACUCUGUGGUGGAAAUGCAAAUUUUUCUAAAACUCCCGGUAAGUAUAUUGUAAAAUACGUAUGAACUGAAAUUUUCCGAAUCGGUUUGUCCUCCAGUGUGCAGUAUAUUCAGCAGUAUUUUUUGACAUUUUUCUUUAGUAUACAAGAGAGAAGGUUAGAGGAAUUUUCUAAGUUUUGUUACCUAAAAAGAUUGAAAUAGGGUGGUUGGAAGUGAACUGCUGUUUGCCUGAUGGGUAAACUAACACUACGCUUGACCUGAAAAGGUUUCCCCUCCUGUUAUGUGUUAUCCCUGGACUAGACAACUGAAAUCUUUGCAUGUUCAGAGCAGAAACCAUCGAUCAGAAUUGCAUUCUUUCUUUGUUUUUAAUUUAAGCCCCUCACCAUAGGAAGUUUUCCUUAGAAAAGUCUCCUUGGAGAACUUGAUGUCACGAGGUGUGUUUUGGUUUUUGGGGGGGUUUUUUUUUGGUUCUUUUAACACUGUCUGCCCCUCAUACUAAAGUACGAUAUGAAGGCUUCAUUUAAUCUCUGCAGUUCAUCUCAUUUCAAAUGUUUGUGGAAGAAGCACUUCAUUGAAAGCAGUGCUGUAAAUAUUCUGCUCUAGGAAUACUUCUGUCUACAUGCUUUCUCAUCCAAGAAUACUUCAUCACACUGCACACGCUGCGUCUCUGACGGAGUUUUUUGUAGCAGAGUUCACCAGGGAGCUCAGUGUGUGUCUCAAAGAAGGGUGGAAGUUCCAAUGUCUGUAAGAUAUCCAUAAGAAUGCUGUUUGCUGCAGUUCCGUGUUCUGUGCUUGGAUGCUUUUUAUAAGAUUUGUCAAUGUAGGAAAUUCUUAAAUAAAACUGAUUUGAGUAAUAUGUGUCUUUGUUUUGCAGCCCUGAAUGCAAAGAAUUCAUAGCAGUUAAUCCCCCUUUUUUUUUUCUUUUGGCCCAUUUGCGAUGGAACUUUGAUAAAGUUUCUGGGCAGCAGUUCAUUUUGCUUCAAGUAAACAUGUUUGAAAAGUUGUUUUUAGCCAAAUGGAUUCAGCUAUCAUACAUUGAUACCUGAUUUCCCAGAUUUAAAUUUGCUAUUGGUUGUUGGCAUUGCCCAAAGUGAGAAGCGUUUUUUUUUUAAAUCCUUUUUUUUUUUUUUAACACGCCUGAGGUAACCUCAAGUGGUAAGCGGUUUCCGCUAAGCUUUUGUCGUGGAGAUAACGAAUCAGUACUCUGCUUUUGUUGCGGAGGUGGCCCAGAAGGCCAGAUUUUAAUUUAAAUUGUGCAGUGUACAAGCAACUGCCCGGAGGACUUGUUGAUCCCGGCAGAGUUUUCCCCGCUAGACCAGGGAGCCCUCCCUCACGACAGGAGACAGGAUGCGUAUGGUUGGCCGAUGCAAUCGUAGCCGAGGCUGCAGCAAGGAAGAUCGGUACACAUUUCCUUUUAAGGUAGGGAUUAGGAAGAUCGGUGCACAUUUCCAAACGAGGCAGGGGGCAGAGCUUCGGCAUCAGGGGGUCUCUGCUGGCUAAGGAAUUUGGACUGAACAGACGCAUUUAAGAGUCACUAAAUCUAAGAUGGAGUUCAGCCGCCAUUGAGCUUCAAGAUGGCAGAUUUUUUGCUUCCACGUUUUUCUCAAUGUCUCUAGACAUUGGGUGUUUUGGGGUUUUUUUUUUUUUUAAUUUUUUUUAAGAAUAUGGCCUUCCUAAGUCUCCAUUUGGGGAGAUUGUUUUUUUCAUUUUAGGCUGUUUUGACUUGGCGGGGGCGGUGGCUAAACCAAGUGGUUGAUGUUAAGAUGCUGUUCACAUGCUUUGUAAUAGCGAAGUAGACCGUCUGAGAAAAAUUGGAAGAUACCUUAAGCUGAGGUGUGAAAAGCGGAAUUAACUGCACUAGGGAUAGAGUAGAAGAAACCACAAGCGAUACUUGGGCCCUGAAACAAAAUAAAUCAGCUAGCAGGGCUAAUGAGCUUCCGACUAGGUUGGAAGUGGUUGCUUUGACUAGAAAAGUGAUACCCAAGGAGUUUUUUUUUACAAAAAAAAAUACUGUUCCCAAAGUAUUUAAUGAGAUUACAUGUAGUACUUAUUAAGAUCUCAUGAAGCUUUUUAAAGUGUGUGAAAGCAGUGCUAUGCUGAUUCCUUAUUGUACUAGAUGUAAUCCUUUAUUGUUAAAUGCAUAGAGUUGGGGAGUAUUCUUUCAUUGUGAAAGAUUGUUGCAUUGUUUGAAUUAAUGUUGCUUGAAUACCCUUAUCCAGUUGUAUUGCAGUAAAUACGUGGGCAUUUUACAGUUUUUUUUUUUUAAACUGGUCAGAUUCUGACACCCCUUACCUUUUAGAAACUCAGCAGUGAUCCUUAAAUUGCUUCAUUAUCCAGGCCCUAUGUAAAAGGAUCUUGACUUGUUUUAAUUUUUUCUGCAUCUAAAUCUGCAUGAUUUCCCAACCCUGUGCCAUCUGAAUUUUGCAUUUUAGCAUUUGCACUAUUACUCAGCAGCAGUAGCAUGGUAACACUUAAAAUGGUAUUCGGGGACCUCCAAAGACUAAACGGGCAAGCCUGCAAGGAAUCCAAUGGUAAGUUAACUUGUCAAAAGCAUGGUUUUAAUCACUUAAACCUACUGUAAAUCCAAAAGGUCUUAGAAAGCUUGAAGUGUUGACUAGCCUUUUUACUUAAACUGUUUUAUGAAACUUAAGAUCUUUGGGAAAUAAUUUACCUUCCAAAAAUUUGAGAUUCAGAAGUGUUGUAAAGCCAUAUUUGGUCUUCUAAAUGCAGUCAAUCUGAAUUAUUUUUGAACUAUUUGAAUAAAAGUUAUUGUUGCUACCACA